UGUACGAAAUCAAGUACUUGAAAACAAGACCACUUCAAUGGGGAAAAGGCCCAAUAAAUACCAGAAAAUGACCAGAAGAAUAAAACCCUAGCCAGAUUCUCCAUUUUGAUUCUAGGAUUUCUUUGCUCAGAAGUAGAGGCAAAGUGACCAAGAGAAGCAGCUAAGCAGCCAAGCUCGAAACUCUGUCACCAUGGGUCGAAUGCACAGCCGAGGUAAGGGUAUUUCAGCAUCUGCUCUGCCUUACAAGAGAACUCCUCCUAGUUGGUUGAAGAUCUCUUCUCAAGAUGUUGAGGAGAACAUUUGCAAGUUUGCAAAGAAGGGUUUGACCCCGUCCCAAAUUGGUGUCAUUCUCCGUGAUUCUCAUGGGAUUGCUCAGGUGAAGAGUGUUACCGGCAGCAAGAUUUUGCGGAUACUGAAAGCCCAUUUUACACCUCAUUGACAUUCUCUGCUGUUUCAUUCUCCUUCUGAUUUGAAGAUAAAACAUUCAACUCCUCCAUUUGUUUAUGUCAGGUCUUGCUCCCGAAAUUCCUGAGGAUCUGUACCACCUGAUUAAGAAAGCUGUUGCCAUCAGAAAGCACCUUGAGAGGAACAGGAAAGACAAGGAUUCCAAGUUUAGGUUGAUCUUGGUUGAGAGUAGAAUCCACCGACUUGCCCGCUAUUACAAGAAGACAAAGAAGCUGCCACCUGUGUGGAAAUAUGAGUCUACCACAGCCAGCACACACUUGUGGCUUAGAGCUGGCGCAUCUUGAACCAUCUUGCAUUGUCCGGCGCUUCAAUUGACUUUCUCCUGGAUAUGCAGGACUAAA